rnacentral:rRNA from 1 species
AAAGAUUAAGCCAUGCAUGUCUAAGUAUAAGCGAAUUUAUACUGUGAAACUGCGAAUGGCUCAUUAAAUCAGUUAUCGUUUAUUUGAUAGUACCUUACUACAUGGAUACCUGUGGUAAUUCUAGAGCUAAUACAUGCUAAAAACCUCGACUUCGGAAGGGGUGUAUUUAUUAGAUAAAAAACCAAUGCCCUUCGGGGCUCCUUGGUGAUUCAUAAUAACUUAACGAAUCGCAUGGCCUUGCGCCGGCGAUGGUUCAUUCAAAUUUCUGCCCUAUCAACUUUCGAUGGUAGGAUAGUGGCCUACCAUGGUGG